AGAGUUUGAUCCUGGCUCGGGAUGAACGCUAGCGACAGGCUUAACACAUGCAAGUCGAGGGGCAGCGGGGAGGUAGCAAUACUUCCGCCGGCGACCGGCGCACGGGUGAGUAACACGUAUGGAACCUGCCCGUAGCAGGGGGAUAAGCGGAAGAAAUUCCGUCUAAUACCGCGUAAUAACUCCGAGAGGCAUCUCUUGGGGUUUAAAGGGUAACACCGGCUACGGAUGGCCAUGCGGCGCAUUAGCUAGUUGGCGGGGUAACGGCCCACCAAGGCGACGAUGCGUAGGGGUUCUGAGAGGAAGGUCCCCCACACUGGUACUGAGACACGGACCAGACUCCUACGGGAGGCAGCAGUGAGGAAUAUUGGUCAAUGGGCGCGAGCCUGAACCAGCCAAGUCGCGUGAGGGAAGACGGUCCUAUGGAUUGUAAACCUCUUUUGUCGGGGAGCAAAAGGCGCCACGUGUGGCGUUCCGAGAGUACCCGAAGAAAAAGCAUCGGCUAACUCCGUGCCAGCAGCCGCGGUAAUACGGAGGAUGCGAGCGUUAUCCGGAUUUAUUGGGUUUAAAGGGUGCGC
rnacentral:rRNA from 1 species